rnacentral:rRNA from 1 species
UACGUCAGUGGCAGACGGGUGAGUAACGCGUGGGAACGUACCUUUUGGUUCGGAACAACUGAGGGAAACUUCAGCUAAUACCGGAUAAGUCCUUACGGGGAAAGAUUUAUCGCCGAAAGAUCGGCCCGCGUCUGAUUAGCUAGUUGGUGGGGUAAUGGCCCACCAAGGCGACGAUCAGUAGCUGGUCUGAGAGGAUGAUCAGCCACAUUGGGACUGAGACACGGCCCAAACUCCUACGGGAGGCAGCAGUGGGGAAUAUUGGACAAUGGGCGCAAGCCUGAUCCAGCCAUGCCGCGUGAGUGAUGAAGGCCCUAGGGUUGUAAAGCUCUUUUGUGCGGGAAGAUAAUGACGGUACCGCAAGAAUAAGCCCCGGCUAACUUCGUGCCAGCAGCCGCGGUAAUACGAAGGGGGCUAGCGUUGCUCGGAAUCACUGGGCGUAAAGGGUGCGUAGGCGGGUUUCUAAGUCAGAGGUGAAAGCCUGGAGCUCAACUCCAGAACUGCCUUUGAUACUGGAAGUCUUGAGUAUGGCAGAGGUGAGUGGAACUGCGAGUGUA